rnacentral:rRNA from 1 species
UACGGGGGGAGCAAGCGUUGUUCGGAUUUACUGGGCGUAAAGGGCGCGUAGGCGGCCAGCACAAGUCAGUUGUGAAAAUCUCCGAGCUUAACUCGGAAAGGUCAACUGAUACUGUGCGGCUAGAGUGCGGAAGGGGCAACUGGAAUUCUUGGUGUAGCGGUGAAAUGCGUAGAUAUCAAGAGGAACACCUGCGGCGAAGGCGGGUUGCUGGGCCGACACUGA